UCCUUGCACCUCUUUUCAAAAGAACUCCAAUGCGAUCUGUCAUAUCCUCCAACCUUUUCUCCAAAGCCAGAUCCAAUCCAAGUUGGACCAACAAAUCCUCCAUCCUAACCUUUCAUAUCGAGAAGCUCCCCUUCUCAUCAACCUUCUCAAACUCCACCUUCAUCCCAUUGCUCAUGGUCGGCACCAACCACAAUCACAACAAAAGGUAAAACUAAUUUGAGAAGCGUAUACCUUGGAACA
rnacentral:lncRNA from 1 species